GACAUUUAAAAUAUUCUUAAAGUAGAAAUACUUUAAAAUUUUUAAUUGUUGCACCAUUAUAAUCUAGAAUCAAAAUGGAAGACAUUCACAUUGAAAUCUAAAAAUGAGUACAUAUCUAUGAAAUACAACUAAUAAACGAUAAUUCAAAACUAGUUACAGCUCUAUACUUCAAGGGAAAGAUUUGUUUUAUGUGUAUGAAUUUUCUGCCUGCACGUAUGCUUGUGUCUCAUGUACAUGCCCUGAGCCCCUAAGCCAAAGGUAUCCAAUCCAGCCAUGAACUGGACUUAUGGGUAGUUGUGACCACCAUGUAGGCGCUGGGAGCUGAACAACUCCUCUGCAAUAGCAGCCCUUUGCUCUUAACAGAUAAACCAUCUCUCCAUCCUUCUGUCCAAUGCUUUAAAGGGGAUAAAACAGAAGCACUACAGCCGAGGAUAUAGCUCCUAAGUGCAGUGCCAAUGCACAGAAGGCCAGGGCAAGACCACAAACUCCAGGCCAGUCUGGGACUCACAGUGUCUAGAGACCUGUCUCCAAAAACAAAGAAAAUGAGAUAAAGUGAAAUGAGAGAGGAGACAAGAUAUAUGUGGGGGGUGGGGUAACAGCUAAUGCUAAAAAUCUAAAAUCCUCAAGUUACGUAUCACUUUCAAAAACACCCAUGCUAUCUCUUUCUUUACUAUAGUUAAUUGAAUUACUGAAUUUUCUACUACAGGAUACACUCCCAGAUGAACAGAAACCACUAGGAUAAACAAACAGGUAUGCGAUUUUACUGACACAUAUUGAUCAAAUUGCUUUCAAAAAGUGGUUUCUCAUUUCAUCAAAGUUUGAAGUCAUCUUUCUAGCAAACAGUGGUGUGUACCCAAGGACGACCUCACACUUCUGGCCAACGGCCUCCACUUCUUCAAAAGUGAACCACCUCCUGAGCCUAAAUACUAAUUAAUGCUCUACACAAACCAGCAGUCCACUUCUACUAUCCACCCAAAACCUGCUGACAAAAAAGGAAUUUCAACUGUACACUACUCAUAACCAAGAAACCAUCUGUCAGUGAUGUAAUGAGACAAAGCCUACCAUGUCCACAUGGCUAACCAUAACGUGCACACUCAGGCAGGUGCGCACUCAGGCAGGCAGACAUUCAGGCAGGUGCACACUCAGGCAGGUGCAACUCAGGCAGGUGCUGUAAAUCUGUUUAACUUUUAAGGAAACUGGCAGUACUGGGAUUAUAGGUCUAUAGCAGCAUCUGACUGCUGAGGAUCAAACACAAUGUCCCCUGUGCUGGACAAGCUCUGAACCAACUGAGCUGUGUGUGCUGUCCCCAGAUCUCCUUUGCUGACAACCGAAGAGUCUGAUUUUAAAUGUUAUGAAGACUAACCUUUUUUUCAUCAGCAGUUUUUUUGGUUUGUUUGCUGGCCCUGGAGUAGUGGAGUGACAGCUCACAUUCUGCAUUGCUGCAUCUAGAUCUACCACCAACUUUAGACUUACCUUGUGAACCAUUCUAAAGACUGUUCUUUCCAGCCCCAUAUAAAGAGUUUGCUUUCUCUUUAUGCCAUCUGGAUUUCUAAGUCUCCAUUAGCAAACAACCGCAGACUCUGACAUUAUUGUUCAAAAACUCUGUGUAUGUGAGUGAGCAUAUACAUGGUCAAAUGUUGCCUUUUAUAUGGUUUGUUUUACCUUCUGUAUUUUUCUACUAUUUUAAUUUAGCUAGACAAUUUAAGAACUAGCAGUGUACUUAUGAAAGAACAUCUGCUUACCUAUCCCACAUAAGGUUCUGAGUUUAAUCUGUACCAAAAAUACAAUCAAAUGAUUUAAAAUACUUUAAAGCACUAAAUUGUAUAAUUUUGGUAUAUUUGAAUGUACAAUUAUAAUGACUAUCCAUCUGUUUACCCAUUUACACUAACGGUAAGAAAGUUUUUAAUAGUUUGGUUAAAAAGAUUAAAGGUCACAAGACAUCUGUGCAAUUUCCCAUCCAUAAUAAGAACAUUCUGUGGUUUCAGUAUUUGUAGGUAUUUGUACGGUGUCUCAAAGUGACACGAGGCAAAUGGUGUGUUAUGUUAUGCAUAUGACAGCUUUGCCUGCAUGUACGUACGUGCACCGUUGUAUAACUGAUGCCCUCAGAGGUCAGAAGAAGGUAUCUCAGACUCUCCUUCAACUCAAGUUACAAGGGCUGUGAUCAAACAUGUAGUUGCCUAGAACUAAAGCCGGGUCCUCUGCAAGAACAGCAGGUGCUCUUAAGCACAGAGCCAUCUCUCCAGACGUGUACCACUGUGUCUAAAUCCUCAUCUCAACCCCAAUUUGGUCAGACUUGUCACAUAAUUAUUCUCCUCAGGAAUUAUUUUUUCUGCUGGCCAUGAUGGCUUAUGCCUGCAAUCACACCAGGUGGGAAGCUGAAGCCUAAGUUCAAAGCUAGC
rnacentral:sRNA from 1 species